ACUCAAAGGAAUUGACGGGGGCCCGCACAAGCAGCGGAGCGUGUGGUUUAAUUCGAUGCUACACGAAGAACCUUACCAGGGCUUGACAUGGUUGUGGUAGCGAAGCGAAAGCGGAGCGACCCUUCGGGGAGCAAUCACAGGUGCUGCAUGGCUGUCGUCAGCUCGUGUCGUGAGAUGUUCGGUUAAGUCCGCUAACGAGCGCAACCCUCUCUGCGUGUUACAAGUGUCACGCGGGACUGCCAGUCUUAAGCUGGAGGAAGGUGGGGAUGACGUCAAGUCAGCAUGGCCUUUAUGUCCUGGGCUACACACACGCUACAAUGGCCGGUACAAUGGGUCGCGAAGUCGCGAGGCGAAGCCAAUCCACAAAGCCGGUCUCAGUUCAGAUUGCAGGCUGCAACCCGCCUGCAUGAAGACGGAGUUGCUAGUAACCGCAGGUCAGCUAUACUGCGGUGAAUACGUUCCCGGGCCUUGUACACACCGCCCGU
rnacentral:rRNA from 1 species